rnacentral:sRNA from 1 species
CUUCUCUGUAUCCAAACUCUGUUUCCAGUC